CUGGUUGAUCCUGCCAGACCCGACUGCUAUCGGAUUGGGACUAAGCCAUGCGAGUCAACUCCGCAAGGGGUGGCGCACGGCUCAGUAACACGUAGUCAACCUACCCUGGGGACGGGGAUAACCUCGGGAAACUGAGGCUAAACCCCGAUGGGCCAUGGCUCCUGGAAUGGGCUAUGGCUGAAAUCUACAUGGCCCCAGGAUGGGACUGCGGCCGAUCAGGUUGUUGGUGGGGUAAUGGCCCACCAAGCCUAUAACCGGUGCGGGCUCUGAGAGGAGGAGCCCGGAGAUAGGCACUGAGACAAGGGCCCAGGUCCUAUGGGGCGCAGCAGGCGCGAAACCUCCGCAAUGGGCGAAAGCCCGACGGGGUCAGUCCGAGUGGUUCCCGCUGAGGGAACCUUUUGCCAGCUGUAAACAGGCUGGCGAAUAAGGGGUGGGCAAGUUUGGUGUCAGCCGCCGCGGUAAUACCAGCACCCCGAGUGGUCGGGACGAUUAUUGGGCCUAAAGCAUCCGUAGCCGGCCCAGUAAGUCCUCCGUUAAAUCCAACGGCUCAACCGUUGGGCUGCGGGGGAUACUGCUGGGCUAGGGGACGGGAGAGGCGAGGGGUAUUCCCGGGGUAGGGGUAAAAUCCACUGAUCCCGGGAGGACCACCAGUGGCGAAGGCGCCUCGCUAGAACGUGCCCGACGGUGAGGGAUGAAAGCUGGGGGAGCGAACCGGAUUAGAUACCCGGGUAGUCCCAGCCGUAAACGAUGUACGCUCGGUGUUGGGCUGCCUCAGUGGCAGCCCAGUGCCGCACGGAAGCCGUUAAGCCUACCGCCUGGGGAGUACGGCCGCAAGGCUGAAACUUAAAGGAAUUGGCGGGGGAGCACCAC
rnacentral:rRNA from 1 species